rnacentral:rRNA from 1 species
AUACGGAGGGUGCAAGCGUUACUCGGAAUCACUGGGCGUAAAGCGCGCGCAGGCGGCUAUUUAAGUUGGAUGUGAAAGCCUACGGCUCAACCGUAGAACUGCAUCCAAAACUAUUUAGCUAGAGUGUGGGAGAGGUAGAUGGAAUUAGUUGUGUAGGGGUAAAAUCCGUAGAGAUAACUAGGAAUACCAAAAGCGAAGGCAAUCUUCUGGAACACUACUGACGCUGAGGCGCGAAAGCGUGGGGAGCAAACAGGAUUAGAAACCCCAGUAGUCC